AAAAAAAAAAAAAAACAAAAACCCCAACCAGCAGCAGAAAAUUCAUGUUGUGUUAUCAUAUAUUUGAAUUCUGAAAUCCCUAGGCACUACCAUCAGAACAUCAAAGGAAAGGGACAAAGGGAGUCAAGUGAGCUGGAAUCUAACAACCUAUUUUGAAUAUAACCCAGUUAUUUCAUGAAAGAGACUUGAUACUCUUCGUUUAUGACUUGGCUUGCAGUUUUU
rnacentral:misc_RNA from 1 species